UACGAAGGGGGCUAGCGUUGCUCGGAAUCACUGGGCGUAAAGGGUGCGUAGGCGGGUCUUUAAGUCAGGGGUGAAAGCCCGGAGCUCAACUCCGGAACUGCCUUUAAAACUGCAUCGCUUGAAUCCAGGAGAGGUGAGUGGAAUUCCGAGUGUAGAGGUGAAAUUCGUAGAUAUUCGGAAGAACACCGGUGGCGAAGGCGGCGACCUGGGUAGAUACUGACGCUGAGGCGCGAAAGCGUGGGGAGCAAACAGG
rnacentral:rRNA from 1 species